AUUGAACGCUGGCGGCAGGCCUAACACAUGCAAGUCGAACGAAUGGCGGACGGGUGAGUGGGGGCGGGGAAACUGGCUGACGGAAGCAGAUGACUACGGUAAACGGUAGCUAAUACCGCAUAACAUCAGGUCUGCCCAGAGUGGAUUAGCUAGUUGGUGGGGUAACGGCUCACCAAGGCGACUAGCCCUAGCUGGUCUGAGAGGAUGACCGGCCACACUGGGACUGAGACACGGUCCAGACUCCUACGGGAGGCAGCAGUGGGGAAUAUUCCACAAUGGGCGCAAGUCUGACGCAGCAACGCCGCGUGUAUGAAGAAGGCCUUCGGGUUGUAAAACACUUUUAUCGGGGAGGCGUUACCCGAAGAAGAAGCACCGGCUAACUCCGUGCCAGCCGCCGCGGUAAUUC
rnacentral:rRNA from 1 species